UCUAGAACUUGAGAUAUGGGCUGAACACUAAACAGUGUCUGGGCUGCAGGACAGAUUCUGACUUCUCUUUUGUUGCUAUAAUUUGAACUUGAAAACGGUUGUUUUAGGCCCAUGUCGUAGCUUUUCAUCCAUGUAAACCAUACCUAAAUCCAAGUUCUACA
rfam:Populus trichocarpa scaffold_14_contig_179, whole genome shotgun sequence.